UCCUUGGUCCUUUUUCAAUACACCAAAGAAUUUGUGGCACCUAUCAGAGGAGCACGAGAUGAACCUGGAGAGGGCGACUAUUUGACCUGUCAACUUCUACACUUGCUUUUUGCUAUUCAGUAUUUCCGGGAUGGCUUCUAUGGUUUUGAUCUGGUUUGGGUUGACUUCGAUGCCCCUUUGUGAUACCAGAAACCCUAGGAACUUUCCUGAGGCUACGCCAAAGGAGCUUUUUUCGGGAU
rnacentral:lncRNA from 1 species